rnacentral:rRNA from 1 species
UACGUAGGGUGCAAGCGUUGCUCGGAAUCAUUGGGCGUAAAGAGCGUGUAGGUGGCUAGAUAAGUCGGAUGUGAAAUCCCUCGGCUCAACCGAGGAAGUGCAUUCGAAACUAUCUAGCUCGAGGAUGGCAGAGGAAGGUGGAAUUCCUAGUGUAGAGGUGAAAUUCGUAGAUAUUAGGAGGAAUACCGGUGGCGAAGGCGGCCUCUGGACCAUUCCUGACACUGAGACGCGAAAGCGUGGGUAGCAACAGG